rnacentral:rRNA from 1 species
CGCAGUAGGGAAUCUUCCACAAUGGACGAAAGUCUGAUGGAGCAACGCCGCGUGAGUGAAGAAGGGUUUCGGCUCGUAAAACUCUGUUGUUAAAGAAGAACAUAUCUGAGAGUAACUGUUCAGGUAUUGACGGUAUUUAACCAGAAAGCCACGGCUAACUACGUGCCAG